rnacentral:rRNA from 1 species
GACGAACGCUGGCGGCGCGCCUAACACAUGCAAGUCGAACGGAGUUACAUUGAAAGCUUGCUGGAUAUGUAACUUAGUGGCGGACGGGUGAGUAACACGUGAGUAAUCUGCCUUCCAGAGGGGAAUAACGUUUGGAAACGAACGCUAAUACCGCAUAACGUACGGUCCUCACAUGGGGACUGUACCAAAGAUUUUAUCGCUGAAAGAUGAGCUCGCGUCUGAUUAGCUAGUUGGCGGGGUAACGGCCCACCAAGGCGACGAUCAGUAGCCGGACUGAGAGGUUGAACGGCCACAUUGGGACUGAGACACGGCCCAG